rnacentral:rRNA from 1 species
GCGCAACCCUUGUCCUUAGUUACCAGCACGUUAUGGUGGGCACUCUAAGAGACUGCCGGUGACAAACCGGAGGAAGGUGGGGAUGACGUCAAGUCAUCAUGGCCCUUACGGCCUGGGCUACACACGUGCUACAAUGGUCGGUACAAAGGGUUGCCAAGCCGCGAGGUGGAGCUAAUCCCAUAAAACCGAUCGUAGUCCGGAUCGCAGUCUGCAACUCGACUGCGUGAAGUCGGAAUCGCUAGUAAUCGUGAAUCAGAAUGUCACGGUGAAUACGUUCCCGGGCCUU